rnacentral:rRNA from 1 species
AGUGAACGCUGGCGGCGUGCUUAACACAUGCAAGUCGAACGAGAACGGAAUAUAGCUUGCUAUAUUUGUCAGCUAAGUGGCGCACGGGUGAGUAAUGUAUAGAUAACCUGCCCUUAAGAAAGGAAUAACAGUUGGAAACGACUGCUAAUGCCCUAUAUGCCUUUAAUACAUAAGUAUGCAAGGGAAACGCUUUAGUGCUUAAGGAUGGGUCUGUAUGGUAUCAGCUUGUUGGUGAGGUAAUGGCUCACCAAGGCUAUGACGCCUAACUGGUUUGAGAGUAUCAUGAGUCACAAUGGAACUGAGAAGCUGUCCAGACUCCUACGGGAGGCAGCAGUGGGGAAUAUUGCACAAUGGACGAAAGUCUGAUGCAGCAACGCCGCGUGGAGGAUGACACAUUUCGGUGCGUAAACUCCUUUUAUAUAGGAAGAUAAUGACGGUACUAUAUGAAUAAGCACCGGCUAACUCCGUGCCAGCCGCCGCCGUAA